rnacentral:lncRNA from 1 species
AGGAUUUUACAACAUGCAUCGUUGCAUCUAGAAGACUCAACCCACCAUUGCUAGUGCAGUUCUGUAUCUCUAUUAAGGAAUCCAAAUACACAGGCAUAAAAGAAUGUGAUAUACAUAUAAUAAGUCAUAAUAUGGAUAAGAAAGAUAAGAGAAAAAAAAAAGGAUAUUUUGUUGUUGACGAGUCUCCUGUUAGAAGAUCCCGUACUUGCUCAUUAUAUAUUUCAACCAUCUGAACUUGAAUCUCAUACUUAACAAUAUCCUUCCAGCUGGUACACGAUAUCUCGAAAAGAUCAUUCAAAGCUAAAU